AAUGUUGUAAACGAAAGGAGAAAAGUCAACAAAGUCACGCGUAGAGAAGUGCUAUAAAACCAUAAAAUCAAGGCAUGAGCAGGAGAAAAUAAGCAAGCAAAAUUUAGUAAAAAUUGAUUUGGGCUCCAUACUUUCAAUUCAAAAACUUGUUCAUCGCCAUCAUCAUUAUUUGAGUGCUGGAAAACUGGUUUUACAUUGGGAGUAGAAGUCGUCGUGCGUUUGUCUUGAGGCAAAGUUCUAUACAGCUUAUUUUGAAAUCGAGUGCUAAAUAUGAAAUUGAGAAAGCUGAUGAAAAGAAAACAAAUUGAGAGAAAUGAUAGGAAGGCACGAAACCAGGACCUAGAGGUGUUGAUGGACUGCUUAUCCACAAAGAGCUGGUUGCGUUGAACUGGUACAUGCGUACUUUUUAUAUAAAUGCGCAUUAAGAGAAAAAUAAAAUUGACAGCCAAGCUAAAGGGAAUCGAAUAACGAUCUGAUACUUUAUCCCACUCUACACUGUCAAAUUGUUCGCAAACAUAGAUAAAGUAAUCGAUCGGAAGAUUGAUUAUUUUAGAAGUCAGCGAUGUACGACGGAUUAACUUUCCCAUUGAAAAGAUUUUUAAGCAAUGUUUUGAAAUUCAGGUGUACUUUUUGAGUAUAAAACAACGCCGAAUUAGAAAUGAAACAAACCAUGGACCUGAAAGGUAAAUUCCGAUAUUCGUAUACUAAUGAACGAAAUUAGGGCACUUCUCCGUUUCAGGAUUCAAACCUUACGUAUUAAUUAGAGUAGCAAAGGCUUUUUAAUUAGCU